GACGAACGCUGGCGGCGUGCUUAACACAUGCAGGUCGAGCGGUAAGGCCCUUUCGGGGGUACGACGAGCGGCGAACGGGUGAGUAACACGUGGGUGACCUGCCCUCAGCUCUGGGAUAAGCCUGGGAAACCGGGUCUAAUACCGGAUAUGACUCCAUGACGCAUGUUGUGGGGUGGAAAGCCUUGUGCGGCUGAGGAUGGGCCCGCGGCCUAUCAGCUUGUUGGUGGGGUGAUGGCCUACCAAGGCGACGACGGGUAGCCGGCCUGAGAGGGCGACCGGCCACACUGGGACUGAGACACGGCCCAGACUCCUACGGGAGGCAGCAGUGGGGAAUCUUGCGCAAUGGGCGAAAGCCUGACGCAGCGACGCCGCGUGAGGGAUGACGGCCU
rnacentral:rRNA from 1 species